GACGAACGCUGGCGGCGUGCCUAAUACAUGCAAGUAGAACGCUGAAGGAGGAGCUUGCUCUUCUGGAUGAGUUGCGAACGGGUGAGUAACGCGUAGGUAACCUGCCUGGUAGCGGGGGAUAACUAUUGGAAACGAUAGCUAAUACCGCAUAAGAGUAGAUGUUGCAUGACAUUUACUUAAAAGGUGCACUUGCAUCACUACCAGAUGGACCUGCGUUGUAUUAGCUAGUUGGUGGGGGAACGGCUUACCAAGGCGACGAUACAGAGCCGACCUUAGAGGGGGAUCGGCCACACUGGGACUGAGACACGGCCCAGACUCCUAAGGGAGGCAGCAGUAGGGAAUCUUCGGCAAUGGACGGAAGUCUGACCGAGCAACGCCGCGUGAGUGAAGAAGGUUUUCGGAUCGUAAAGAUCUGUUGUAAGAGAAGAACGAGUGUGAGAGUGGAAAGUUCACACUGUGACGGUAUCUUACCAGAAAGGGACGGCUAACUACGUG
rnacentral:rRNA from 1 species